rnacentral:lncRNA from 1 species
UCCUAGUUGAGUGUGAAGACCUGAGGUAUCAGGGGUAGGGGUUGCUCUGCUUGUGUAAGUCCCAUAGUGUGAAGGCCAGAGAACCAAGAGAUGGUCAAGAAGAGAGAGUAAGUGUCCAAUGUCCCAGCUCAAGAAGAGAGAAUGGUGAAUUGCACUCUGAAGAGCUUCCUAAGCUUGUAAGAAAGUGAUUCUGAAAAGCUCAACAUUUUGGUAGAAUGGAGAGAUUUGACAUUGCUUCUGCUCCAAAAGCAAAAGACUUGGGAAGGGCACCCUGGGAGUUGAGAACAUCCACCACAGAGAGGCCUGGCGUAAAGGAGAUGGGACUCACACCCAAGAGGAUGCAUUUCCAUACACCCAUUUCUGAAAUAUGAAGAGGUGUCCAGUCUGUUUGAUUCAUAGCUGCCUGUUCCACAACUGCAGAUACAGUAAUUGAUAACCGAGACCAAGUUCUCAUCCCCAUCUCCCAGGGCUGGAACUGGGGCUGUGUUUGGUUCUCAUAAGAUCAGUUCCAGUUUUAGAAACUGAGUAAAUUGUGGAGUAAAUAUUGCCAAGUGAUGGCU